UACGUAGGUGGCAAGCGUUGUCCGGAAUUACUGGGCGUAAAGGGCGUGUAGGUGGUCAAACAAGUCAGGUGUGAAACCCCGGGGCUUAACUUCGGGCAUGCAUUUGAAACUGUAUGACUUGAGGGCAAGAGAGGAAAGUGGAAUUCCUAGUGUAGCGGUGAAAUGCGUAGAUAUUAGGAGGAACACCAGUGGCGAAGGCGACUUUCUGGAUUGACCCUGACACUGAGGCGCGAAAGCGUGGGGAG
rnacentral:rRNA from 1 species